AACAAUGAAGGAAAAUCCCUCCUCUUCUAAUAU
rnacentral:tRNA from 1 species